UACAGAGGGUGCAAGCGUUGUUCGGACUUACUGGGCGUAAAGCGUGCGUAGGUGGUUCGUUAAGUCCGUUGUGAAAGCCCCGAGCUCAACUUGGGAAUUGCAGUGGAUACUGGCGAGCUGGAGUGCGGUAGAGGAAGGUGGAAUUCCCGGUGUAGCGGUGAAAUGCGUAGAGAUCGGGAGGAACACCAGUGGCGAAGGCGGCCUUCUGGACCAGCACUGACACUCAAGCACGAAAGCGUGGGGAGCAAACAGG
rnacentral:rRNA from 1 species